GCGUCACCUCCGCCCCCUCCCCUCUUCCUGUGUCCCCUCUCCGUAUCCCGUCCCUUUUUCCCUUUUCUGACUGCAAAGUGGGCCUCUUUAACCUGUUUCUGGGCCCCGUGGGGAAGAAUGAGAAGCAGAGUAGGAGGCGAGGGAGCAAGGAGCGAAGGAAGGUCCUCCCUGCAGAUUGUCUGCAAUCAGGCCACACUUUGGUUGGAGCAGGUGCACGGAUGAAUUUGUCUCUUUCAAGUAAACAGGUGUUUAAUAACGGUUUCACAUUUAUAUUUAGUAUGUUGUCAUCACUGCUAAGAGUAGAGACCUCCCUGGCCAGCAAGAGGACCGACCACCCAGGAUGACCCACCUUCCAGGGGCUCGGCCCUGGGUGCCCUGUGGGAGAGCUGGGGCCAGGCAGGCUUCUACUGGGGUCUUGCAAGGAGGGGUUGGGGAGGGUGUGUGCCUGGCCUCUGCCCUCACCUCCCUCUUCUCCCAGCCUGUCUUAGCUAAGUUCCUCCAGCUCAGAGGUUACUGUGUAGGUUUAGCCUCUCCGACUUCUUCCUGUUGUUUAGUCACUCGUUACCUUGUGCACCAAGAGGAAGGCGUCCUGGAGCUGCAUCCUUCCUGCGUGGGCCAUGGGGGCGUGAGUGCGAGGAGUGGUUAUUUAUUUUUGGCUGUUCCUGGAGGCAUGCAGGAUCUUAGUUCCCUGACCAGGGAUUGAACCCGUGCCCCCUGCAUUGGGAGCUUGGAGUCUUAACCACUGGACUGCCAGGGAAGUACCCCCUUCCUCAUUUUUUAAAAAAAAUAUUUGUUUAUUUAUUUGGUUGAGCAGGGUCUUAGUUGCAGCUUGCCAGCUCCUUAGUUGUGGCAUGCGAACUCUUAGUUGCAGCAUACAUGUGGGAUCUAGUUCCCUGACCAGGGAUUGAACCUGGGCCCCCUGCAUUGGGAGCGUGGAGUCCUAACCACUGUGCCACCAGGGAAGCUGCUUCCUCAUUUGUUAAUAACAUUUUUUCUGUAGGAAAACACUUCUUCUUCCACAUUUAUUUAUUUGAAUAUUUAUAUGAGUAUGGGCUGAGAUCUUUUGCUCUAUGGGAGAUUAGCCAAUACUGUCAUUAUUAAUUAAUGGCACACUCAUUAUAUUAAUAAGUAAAGAUUACUUUUUCCUCAAAUCAUUCCAGCUCUGGCCAUUAGGAGCCCUUGAUAUCAGACUCCUUGAUAUUUACUCCGUGAAGUCCUCAAGGAUGUCCUUCUUUCCAACAUCCUGUUUGCAGCUGGAGAUGUGGGGUCAGUUUGCAAGGAAAAAGAAGUCGUUCAGACGGCUGGUCCCUGGAGAGGCGAUUUACUGCAUAAAUGGCGAAAUCGAAGGAUGAACACUGAUGGUGGCAGUGGUGGGCAGCUGAUAAAAAGGGCCCUUUCUGGGGCUUCCCUGGUGGCGCAGUGGUUGAGAGUCCGCCUGCCGAUGCAGGGGACACGGGUUCGUGCCCCGGUCUGGGAAGAUCCCACAUGCCGCAGAGUGGCUGGGCCCCUGAGCCAUGGCCGCUGAGCCUGCGCAUCCGGGGCCUGUGCUCCGCAACAGGAGAGGCCACAACAGUGAGAGGCCCGCGUACCACAAAAAAAAAAAAAAAAAAAAAAAAAAAAAAGGGCCCUUUCUGUGUGCACGUGGGCAUAUGUUACACCCAUUCCCAGUGGAGCUCCAGGGGCUAAAAAUAAUCACGUGUUUUCUGUUUUAUCCAGAAAAGAGGAAAUGUGCAGUGUUAUUUCGUAACAUUUACUAUUUUGGAAAACUUGAAUUUUGUCCGCAUGUAUUUUUAAAAUGUCUUUGGAGCUGUCCUUGGAGGAAAAGACAUGAUGCAGAUUUCACCAAAGGUCCGUCUGCUUUGUUGUCCACAUCUUCAGGAAACAGCUCCAUGGAGAAGGGGAACCAUCCCUCAACACACAUGGCCAAGGGAUGGACGUGCAAACAACCCCCCAGAUCAGGUCAUGGGGGUCAUAGGAGGAAAGCCAGCUCUCAAGGGGCCCUGGGACCUCUCAGCCCAGGCCAGAGGGGAGAAGGGACCUGCCCAGGGUCCCUUGGCAUGGCCUGUUCUGCGUACAAGGGGAGGCGUGCUGCCCCACGGCCACCGGCUGCCUGCAAGAGAGCCAGGCUUCAUGGUCCAGGCUCAGCAUCGGACCUUCCCCUGACCCCCCUUGGGCUUUGUGUGGCCUUUGUUUCUUGAGGCUUGUUUGCUCCUAUGUGAGCCAGUACCGCUGAGACACUGUCCCGGUUGUUUUU